GACGAACGCUGGCGGCGUGCUUAACACAUGCAAGUCGAACGGAAAGGCCCUGCUUUUGUGGGGUGCUCGAGUGGCGAACGGGUGAGUAACACGUGAGUAACCUGCCCUUGACUUUGGGAUAACUUCAGGAAACUGGGGAUAAUACCGGAUAGGAGCUCCUGCUGCAUGGUGGGGGUUGGAAAGUUUCGGCGGUUGGGGAUGGACUCGCGGCUUAUCAGCUUGUUGGUGGGGUAGUGGCUUACCAAGGCUUUGACGGGUAGCCGGCCUGAGAGGGUGACCGGCCACAUUGGGACUGAGAUACGGCCCAGACUCCUACGGUAGGCAGCAGUGGGGAAUAUUGCACAAUGGGCGGAAGCCUGAUGCAGCAACGCCGCGUGCGGGAUGACGUCCUUCGGGGUGUAAACCGCUUUCGCCUGUGACGAAGCGUGAGUGACGGUAAUGGGUAAAGAAGCACCGGCUAACUACGUG
rnacentral:rRNA from 1 species